rnacentral:rRNA from 1 species
GAUGAACGCUAGCGGCAGGCUUAACACAUGCAAGUCGAGGGGCAUCGAGAGAGUAGCAAUACUUUUGUCGGCGACCGGCGGACGGGUGCGUAACGCGUAUGCAACCUACCUUAUACAGGGGGAUAACCUUUCGAAAGGGAGACUAAUACCGCAUAACAUUACUUUGAGGCAUCUUGAGGUAAUUAAAUCUUCGGAGGUAUAAGAUGGGCAUGCGUAGCAUUAGCUAGAUGGUGCGGUAACGGCGUACCAUGGCGACGAUGCUUAGGGGUUCUGAGAGGAAGGUCCCCCACACUGGUACUGAGAUACGGACCAGACUCCUACGGGAGGCAGCAGUGAGGAAUAUUGGUCAAUGGUCGGAAGACUGAACCAGCCAUGCCGCGUGCAGG